rnacentral:rRNA from 1 species
GAUGAACGCUGGCGGCGUGCCUAAUACAUGCAAGUCGAGCGAACAGACGAGGAGCUUGCUCCUCUGACGUUAGCGGCGGACGGGUGAGUAACACGUGGAUAACCUACCUAUAAGACUGGGAUAACUUCGGGAAACCGGAGCUAAUACCGGAUAAUAUAUUGAACCGCAUGGUUCAAUAGUGAAAGACGGUUUUGCUGUCACUUAUAGAUGGAUCCGCGCCGCAUUAGCUAGUUGGUAAGGUAACGGCUUACCAAGGCUACGAUGCGUAGCCGACCUGAGAGGGUGAUCGGCCACACGGGAACUGAGACACGGUCCAGACUCCUACGGGAGGCAGCAGUAGGGAAUCUUCCGCAAAGGGCGAAAGCCUGACGGAGCAACGCCGCGUGAGUGAUGAAGGUCUUCGGAUCGUAAAACUCUGUUAUUAGGGAAGAACAAAUGUGUAAGUAACUAUGCACGUCUUGACGGUACCUAAUCAGAAAGCCACGGCUAACUACGUG